rnacentral:lncRNA from 13 species
GUGGGGAGGGCCCAGGGACGGUGUCACCAUCCACAGCAUCAGUGGGGAGGGCCCAGGGGCAAUGUUACCAUGCAUAGCAUCAGUCGGGAGGGCCCAGAGACGGUUCCACCAUAGCAUCAGUGGGGAGGGCCCAGGGACGGUUCCACCUCUGCCAGCAUCAGCAGAGAGGGCCCAGGGAUGGUGCCAUUAUCUACCAGCAUCUCUGGGCCGCAUGAACAGAGCUGUGGCCAAGCCCUGGAGUGAAAUAGCAAGAGCACAUGAUCCUGCUUCAUGGCUGGAUGUAAUAGAGGUGUGGCCAGGUGAAGGCAUAAAGGCGUCCCGGUGGCUGCUGCCCCUUGAGAACCUGCAUUUCUGCCUCUGUGGUGCCCUAAAUCCUCCACAUGCCAAGGGCAGAUGGGACAGACUCACGGGGCAAGGCUGGAGGCUGGCACUGCCUCCCGUUGGCUUGCAGGGGUCUUCUCCCUGCAGGGUCUCUGAGAUUCGUGUGAUGCCCCGGGUGAGCCUGGCUCUCCCUGGGGGCUUUCAGCCUCUGCGUGUCUGGAGCUGGCUUGGGACGGACCAGGGAGCCACUGUCACACUGCAGGGUUGCUGCAGUCUUGGCCCUUGCAAAUUCUGCCCGAGUGCCCUUCUCAAUUCCUUCUCCCCGGAAGGUUCUUCCUGGACCACUGUCGUGGGUCUUCUGUACCACAGCAUGCACUACUACCUGAACAACAUCCGGCCUGUCCACACCAAGUGAGUCUCGGGGCUGCCCAGCUCAGGGGUGUGGGUGUGCGUAGGUCUGCUGGGUGACUGGCCACAGGGAUGCCCGCCCUACACGUGGUCACACCCAUGCACAACACCGUGUCCAAGAACACUGGACGUGAGCGCUGGGCACUUCACCACUCAGGCAAGGAAAUGUGCAGCGUUUUGAAGAGCACUCAGGAACUGCAGGCCCAGGGCCCAGCUGGCAGAGUGGAGGUCAGGAGCACAGCUAGGAGACCCUCCCAAUCCGCCUGGACCAAGCUAUGUGACCUUGGCAAGAGACUUAGCUUCUCUGAGCCUCAGUCUCCGCUGCUGUGGGAUGAAAGACAACAGACCUACCUGUGUCAGUCAUGGGCACACACACAGAUGGGCAGAGCCGUCUCACACCAGCUUCAGUGGAAGGCCGGGAAGCUGAGGGCUAAGGGGACUGAGAAGGGUGGAGCAGGUGGGUUUCAGGCAUGGCUAGACCCAGGAACCCCGAAGAUGCUGUCUAGACCUGCUCUGUCUGUCCCCUGCCUCCUCCAGACAGGCCCCUGCAUAGGACCAGAGCUGGCUCCUGCAGCAUUGGGUCAUGUGGGUUUGGGUCCUGAGGACCCAGAGGAAGAACCAGGGCAGGGGGACUGCGAGGGGGAUGGAGAGGGUGGGGAGGGCGAGGGAAAUGAGUAGUGGGUGUGGGCCUCUUUCCCCAGGAAUGUAGUCGUAAUUUUGUGAUCCGGAAGAACCGCCAUCUUCUGGGUCAGAUUUUUCUGGGAAAGCCUGCCUGCUUACCAAGUUCCUCUAAUGAAGGAAACUUCCUCUAAUGAAGAAUUCUGGAAAUCACACAUAAAGUGCCACUCUUUAUGUGUGAUUUCCAGAAUUCUUCAGAAAAACAGUCCAAGGAAAGUGCAGUCUAUUUUCCUCAUAAAGAUGCCAUCUCAGUUAUUUGGAGAAGUCUUUCCAAGAUAGUGAAUGAAAAGUUGACCCUUCCUUGGCCCCUCUUGCUGAAGUUUCCACCA